rnacentral:lncRNA from 1 species
UCAUAUAUCCUUCCCAUGUCCGAAGGUGUUUUGACCUCAAAUGGGUGCUCAGCCGGCACCCCAAAAUUAAACCAGCUAGACAGUUCAGCCUUCCCCAAAUACAUACCAUAUAUGAAGGAAAAAUAUGGUUGUCCGGACUAUUCAUCGUGUUAUCUCCAACAAAAAGAGGGCCCAACACAAAAAAAAAAUCCACCUCACGACACACCCUUUCCUCUUCCUGUCAGACCAUUCCCUUCCUGCUCGAUUUUCAUCGUAGCGUGACAUUUCUUGAUGGAGCCCUCUCAUUUAAAACCGGAUGACGCCCACCUCGCCUUCGCUAGCACCCUCUCUCCUUCAUACCGAACUUCUCCAUGGACCAUCCAGGAGACCCUGCAAAACUGCCCAACUCUCCACCCAGAUCCCUUCCUCUAUGUUCGUGUUGAUCCGCCGCCUCCAUCAAGGCGAAGGAGGGCAUUGGCCGCCCACGACGCCUCCUAAGCCAAGAAGGCAGAUCCAAUGUUCCCUUAGCCACUGGACAAACUAUGAUGUCCGCUGUCACUGUAUCCAUUAUUAACUCUUGAAGCAACCAACAAAUGCAUGUACCAUUCUAUGCUAACUAAAACAUUGUAUGACUUGAUGUAAAAAAAGAACCGCUCGCUCAAGCAAUUUGCUGCAAAGUCAGCUCUAAUGAAAUGCAAUUUGCCAGAUUUUCUAAUGUAGGUAAAUUAUUCCGCUCAUAGAACGAUAAUUGAACAGAACAAACCCCAACCCCAAAUCACAUCCAUCACAUAAUAUAAGUGGGAGGCCCACAUGUGUGUACAAAAAAAAAUUAUAGAACAAGUGAACAUCCCACAUAAUCUCACGUCAAUGACAGGCUUAGCUAAACUUUUGUAAAGAAAAAUACUGCUGCUGCUGAAUACUUCAAAUAACCUACUACUGAUGUAUCAGAUAUAACUUUAAAAGGUUAAUCUCAGUUUUACAACUUACUGUUGCGUCUAAAAAUCAGUUCAUCUCAAUGCACACAUGAAGUAUAGUUUGCUUCCUAGUUCUUUCAUGUUUAUGCCUGAUCACACUUUGAUUCACAGAUCCAUCGUGAGCUAUAAGAAGGCAAUCAUCAAGUUAGCAAAUGGACCCAAAGUGAAUUUAUUCACAUACUCAAACAACAGAAAAUCAGAAACCGUGACUGGAAACGCUUCCUACCAGGCAUCUGACAGCAGACGUUUGUCAGACUAAUCGCACACCGUCGAUGCUUCUUUCAUCUCACGGCCGAGAUUGCGUCCGAAAUCCUUUGAUUAGUUUCCAAAACAGCCUGAUUUUCCACCCAUAACUACUCCCGCAUUAAUCUCACCUGCCAAAGCCCACCCGUUCCCAUCCCCGUCGCCUGCUCCGGAGCUCACCAAUCUCGUCCUCGGCCGCCCCGCCCUUGUUCUCGCCGCCAUGAACCAGCCUCCCCAAUUCCCAUUUUAGACACACCUCGCAAGUGCGUCGUCCCACACGAUUGUGGUGGACGGCAUUAGCCACGUCGAGCAUGACAAGCGAGCUCGCAGUCCAUGGUCGUCCCGGUUAUCUACACUUGCUUCGGAUCCCCCGGCUUCCAGGCCACCGUGGCGGAGCUUCGUCUCAGUUUUCGAACGAAUCCAUCAUGCGAGGAACCUUGCUGGAGUCGCCCCCCAUCUCCUCUGCAGGUAGCAUCCUCAUCUGACCUAGGUAAUUCUGGGAAAUCUUGAUAUAGCCCUCUCUGAUUUCUGACAUAUUUGUAUGUCACCAGUGUUGUUUGAUGAAUUUUGUACACCUCCAUUGUGUAUUUGUAUAACUCAUUCAUUAUUUUGGCCACACCAGUGUGUAUUAUUUGACUGAAUUAGAGUAAUAUUUCUGAAUUUGGUAUGUACAUAUGUACAUGUGCUUCUCAAUUUUGGCUGCAAUAUAAGUGAGAAGCGAGAAGAUUUUUGUCGUCUUUUUCCCCUCUUUGUUGUCUAUGUUCAAAGUUGGUGAAGGGAGCACACGCUGUUGGUCGCGCGAAUCCGCCAUACCAUCCUCAUCCAACCUUUUCAUGACUAUCCUCGUUAUAUAGAAAGUAUGUCGAGAUUGCAUCCGUACAAUGCUUCCAGCUUUUCAUGUUUCAUACAUACAUAUAGUACUACUACACCAUUGCUGGUUAAACUCUGCUUCAUUUAUCAUGCCAAUGCUUCUACAUUGAGUCCACUUUGCUUCGUACAUAUCAAACUUGUGCUUCUACAUCGUGUUCAGUUCUGCUUUCUGCCAAUCCUUUGCACGUUCUUGUAGGCAUCAUGUUUUUACUUAAUGAACAACUAAAUCACGCUUCCUAAAUUUCACACAUAUUAUGGACAAGAUGCAUGUCACCGCUUGUCUUAAUUUGAAUGACUGUGCAGAGAUAUUUUGCACCCCAUUUUUCUUAUAUGUGCUUCCACUAUGUAGAAAUUAUGUUGAGAUUACAUGAAUAUGAUGUAUCCAAUUUUCAUGAUUCAUUUGUAUCAUAGUUGUGCUUCUUCAUGGUGUAUAGUUUGCUUCAUAUAUGGACCAUGGUUAUGCUUAAUAGUGUAUGGUUUGUUUCAUGUACUUAACAAUUGUGCUUCUACACCUUGUUUAGUUUGCUUCAUUUCCAUAUUUCAUAUUAUUUUGUAGGCGCCAUGUUUAUACCCAAAUCAAACUACCCCAUGCUUCCUAAAUUCCUGCAGAACUAACUUGAGCGGAAGAUCUUGCUUUACUGAUUGUGAGCAUGCCACGGUCGUCGAUGGGGGCAUGGCGUGCGACGUGAGAUCAAGCAUUUCAUUGCUCAGUGUUUUGUCAUCGUGCUGCAAGCAAACAAGCAAGAUGCACACUCGGCUGUCAAAGGUCAAGGGUGUCGUACCCUCGAUGGUGCCGGCCUCUCUGGUCCUCGCCAACUCUUGUGGCUCGCGAUGUCAAAACCCACAGAUUUGUGGGACAAAAGAAGGUCAUCGAGGCUAGGCCGGACACGAUGGAUGGAGCAGAGCAGGGAGGGGCUUCGACAGGAAUCCUACAAGCUAUGUACAAAGCAACUAAACUUCUAGUAAGCCAAAAACGGCGGUCAUAACACAUGGAGUCAUACCUAAAAAACAAAUAAAACAAUACACAUGAAACUGCUUUGAGACAAAAAAAUGACUGGAUUAUGAAGCAUAGUUUGUAGUGUUGGAAGAAUGAUUUUCAGAUGAUGAAAGCAAAGCAUAUUUGUAUUUCUUGGAAUCACAUCCCUAAUAUGCUUGAAGCAUGUGUUAUUUGUACUCGUAAUAAUGGUUAUUUUUAUAGGAAGAAUGUCUUAUUUUGGUGGUGCAAUCCUCUAGGUAGAAAACAAAUAUGUAUUAACCGUAGCAAGUUUAGUUCACUAUGGGCGCAAAUUCAUUGAUAAACGGAAACAAGUUUAAUUUUGCAUUACACUGGAAAAACAUUUUUUAUGAUGUCAAAGAACAUCCACACGAAUGGAAGUAAAUUUACAUAAAAAUGGAAUCAAGAUGUGCUUCAUGAGGAAGCAAAUAGUCUCAUGCGAAAAUCAAGAACAUGUACUCACGUGAUUUCUGAAAGUAGUUUUCGCCCUGGUUUAUGGAAGCACUCGUUAGGAAACAAACUUGGAAAGAAUCAGGCACCAUGUUUCCAUGAUUUCAAGGGAACCAUGCAAGGAAGUAACAAAUAUUACGGAGGAAGAUUCGGCCGGAGAGAGACGCGGGGAUGCAGGGCGUGCAUUGCGGGAGCGAUUAGGAAGCAGCAACAAAUUAGGGAUUGGAAGCAUCUAAUCAAACAAGCGGACUACCAGAUCGAGCAUACGUCCGGCAUCUGACCCAACGGCCUUGGACUGGUCUGAUAGUUGCGAACUAUCAGUAGUCUGAUGGCUAGUGAUGCCCGUGAUGAUAUUGAUACAAUCAGGGAAAUUAAUUAUGAUGCAUUUGUUCACAGCAAGAAAAAUCAAGAUUUCACCUUGCUAUUUUAGGGACAUUUGUUUUAAGAAUUUUAAGCUAUACAGAAGAAUACGCCAGGAAAUCUCUUGAGGGUGUCAAAUAUAACACAAGUAUGCAUAUAGUUGAGGCAUCCAGGAAAUCUCUUGCACUCUGAGACCAAUAGAAUUCAUUUCAGUGUACUAAUCAAUAGUUAAAAAUUAGCUAGAGAUCAUUAGUGUACCAGAUAAGUGGAAGUCAAGCUAAAUAAAAAAACAUGAAAAAUUAAUAAAAACCAUGACUAUUCCUAGCAAUUGAUGAUCCUAUACAGGAAGAUCUAGUGCAUAUCCCAUUAGUAAAUAAUCUAGGCAUACAGGUACAGAAGAGCCACACGCCUGAUUGGAGCUUUAGUUUAACAUGAAGCAGUUGCUUACAGUCCAGAACAUAGUGGCAAAUUUGCACCAAGAACAGGAUUUGACACUUGCAUUGUGGUGUUUUUUCACUGUCUCUCUCUCUCUCUCUCUCUCUCUCUCUCUCUCUCACACACACACACACACACACACUACAUGCAUUCUGCAGAUAGGUGACUGAGGUAGGUCACGAAAUUACCUAAAGCUGCGAGGAAAUGGAAAUCAAAUGAGGAGGGAGAAGAAAAAAAAGGAUUUUUACCUUCUUCCAGCUGGUGGUGGUCUUGGUUCUUCAAGAUUUCUUUUUCUGCAGUUGAGGCGCAGCUGCCGGCGGUAUGAUAAGAAAACUGCUGCUAUUUCAGUCUCACGAAUUAAAC